AAGAGUUUGAUCCUGGCUCAGAAUGAACGCUGGCGGCGUGCUUAACACAUGCAAGUCGAGCGAGAAAGUUCCUUCGGGAAUGAGUACAGCGGCGAACGGGUGCAUAACACGUAAGAAUCUACCCUUGAGUGAAGAAUACCUUCGGGAAACCGGAGUUAAUACUGCAUAAUCCGUCUAUGAGAGAUUAUAGUUGGGAAAAACGGCCUCUUGCCGUUGCUUAAGGAUGAGCUUGCGGACUAUUAGUUAGUUGGUAGGGUAAAAGCCUACCAAGACGAUGAUGGUUAGCCGGCCUGAGAGGGUGUACGGCCACAUUGGGACUGAGAUACGGCCCAGACUCCUACGGGAGGCAGCAGUGGGGAAUAUUGCACAAUGGACGAAAGUCUGAUGCAGCGACGCCGCGUGGGGGAUGAAGGUCUUCGGAUUGUAAACUCCUGUUAAGAGGGAAGAAAGACCCUGGGGUAAUAUACCAGGGGGAUGACGGUACCUCUAGAGAAAGCACCGGCUAACUUCGUGCCAGCAGCCGCGGUAAUACGAAGGGUGCAAGCGUUAUUCGGAAUAACUGGGCGUAAAGAGCGUGUAGGUGGUUUUGUAAGUCAGUUGUUAAAUACCACAGCUUAACUGUGGACCUGCGAUUGAAACUAUAAGACUAGAGGAUAAGAGAGAGAAGUGGAAUUCUCGGAGUAGCGGUAAAAUGCGUAG
rnacentral:rRNA from 1 species